rnacentral:rRNA from 1 species
GGAUAGAGUCGGCGUAUCUUGCAAGUAUUCAAUUACUUUAUUAUUGUGUUGUUAUCUCUGAGCUCCAGAUUGGGACAGAGGAAAGCAGCAUGAUUUAAUGUGAUGCAUUUACUUGUCUGGUGUGUGGGGGUAUCUAAGAUGGAUUUGCAACCAAUGUUUUGAGGCCAGCUUGCUGGUACCCAAACAUUGUUAACAUUUUUUAUCUUGGAUAUUCGAGUACGGCUUACGUGCAUUUUUUGUAUUGAUCUAAGUGCAAGUUACGGUCGCAUGCGACACGUGCUUUUCAUUUAGUUCGGUGCAGUUAAUG